rnacentral:rRNA from 1 species
AACGAACGCUGGCGGCAUGCCUAACACAUGCAAGUCGAACGAGACCUUCGGGUCUAGUGGCGCACGGGUGCGUAACGCGUGGGAACCUGCCCUUAGGUUCGGAAUAACUCCCCGAAAGGGGUGCUAAUACCGGAUAAUGUCUUCGGACCAAAGAUUUAUCGCCUUUGGAUGGGCCCGCGUUGGAUUAGCUAGUUGGUAGGGUAAAAGCCUACCAAGGCGACGCUCCAUAGCUGGUCUGAGAGGAUGAUCAGCCACACUGGGACUGAGACACGGCCCAGACUCCGACGGGAAGCAGCAGUGGGGAAUAUUGUACAAUGGGCGAAAGCCUGAUCCAGCAAUGCCGCGUGAGUGAUGAAGGCCUUAGGGUUGUAAAGCUAUUUUACCCGGGAUGAUAAUGACAGUACCGGGAGAAGAAGCUCCGGCUAACUCCGUG